rnacentral:misc_RNA from 1 species
AACGCACCUUGCACCCAGUGCGCAAGCUCUGGGUAUGCCUGUUUGAGAAUCGCAAACAUCCUCAACCUUGGUCUAGGUUGGACGUGGCCUCUGUCAGAGGCUGGAAUUGAGAAGGCGAGGCCCAUAGGUUAGCUAGCUUCAUAGUGUGCCAGAGCGUCACUGUGGCUAGCGACCCGUUGGGGCACCAAGCCUCUUAUUAUUACUCUAUUAUUGAUCUCAAAUCAGGCAAGGCUACCCGCUGAACUUAA